GGAAACUUAAGUUCAGUUGGCAGAACGGUCGGCUCAUAACCGACAAGUCACAGGUUCGAGUCCUGUAGUUUCCA
rnacentral:tRNA from 1 species